UAACUUUUAACCCUAGAAAGAUAACGUGCGCCUUAGAGGCGCCCGCGAAAUAUAUAUUUCGCUGCCAUUUUGUUACCGACGCGCAUACAAGUUUGUGUUUCCGCGCCAAUUCAGUCCUUGGUCAUCACUUCCGAGAGACGGCUUCUUCUGUUCGGAGCGUUUUCGCAUCAUGGCGAGCAGAAGAGUGCUGGAUGAAAGAGAAAUUGUUUCUUUAUUCAAUGAAGAAGAUGAAGGCGCAGAUGUCGGCAGUAACAGUGAGAUCGAGGGCCAUGUAAGUGUCUUCACAAUGUGCAAAGCGAUACUGAUGAUGAGUACGUAGAUGAAGCUAUGAUUUAUGAAAAUUCGAAUGAUCCUUCAUCGCAGAAUGUCACUGAAAAUACUGGACAUGACCAACGCCGCCUAAUGAUGUGAUCAGGGGCAAGAAUAGGCAUGUUUGGGCUACUGCUAAAGGACAAAAUAACAGAAGAACAUCUGCGAUCUAUAUAGUUCAUUCCAAUAGAGGGCCUAGUCGCAUGUCUCGAAAUAUUUUUGAACCACUUCCAUGCUUUGAGUUAUUUAUAACUGACGAGAUUAUACAAGAGAAAGUAUUGAGAAUAUCCUACCACAAACUAACCGAGAGAUGUCUGAAGAAGCUGAUGAGGAACCUCCUGCUAAAAUUCGACGGUACUGUAGCUUAUAUACAAAAAAAAGAAGAGAAUGUCCAAGAUGAGUUGCACAAAAUGUAAAAAGACAGUGUGCGGAGAACAUAAAAAAGGUGUUUGCAACAAUUGUCUUUAGCCGUUGAUUUUUCCAGUAUUUUUUUAAAAUUGAGACUGAUUAUAUUAUAAUUAAUUAAUUAAUAAGAAAAAACACUAUAAAAGUUACCUAUUUUUAAAAAUUUCUACCUAAGUACAGAAGACUUCUAAUUUUUGUUAAGGGUUUAUAAAUACCUACAAAUUUUCAUAUUUUGAAUAAAAAUUUAUGAUAAUA